rnacentral:lncRNA from 1 species
AUUUGUAGUGGCUAACUUUUCUAUUUAGCUCGAUCCUUGUAUUCCUGAUAUGCUGCAAAUCAUUAUUUUUGUCGUAUAAUUUUGUUGACGUUACUCCACCUUUGCUAUACGUUGCUUAUAAAUCUUGUUAAUAAGGUGGAACACUAUAAUCUGAUGGCACCAUCUUCUUGAGAAACCGUAGCGUCACUUGUGGAUACAGACAGCCCUCUAUCAGUUAGAUUCUGUAUGUUGGAUUUUCCUUUAAUAAUAAUAAAAACCUAUCCAUAUUUGGUAAAAAAUUUAGAAAUUAUGAGGAAAAAAAAACUCUCACCAUUGUCGAAUGAUGCGAACCAGUUGAUAUGCCAGUUUUUGCUGAGAAUGACGCAGCACACUGUUUCUUAUUUGGUCAGAGCAGCUGGUAA